CUAGCAGGUACUAGAAAGCUGUGACGUAAAACACCGGCGACAAAAUGGCGGAUUAUUCCACGAAACGUGCCUCCUCCUGUUUAGUCUGGAUGUGACAAAAGUUUUUACGCAAAUAACCACCAAAAAUGACACGGCGUGACGGAGACGCCACCAUCAAAAUGACAAGAAUGGACCAGCAAGAGCCAGGACCUAGGAAAUACUCGCUUGGGACUGAAAGUGAGGGCAAAACUUCACCACAGCCGGCGCCGUCGUCGACGGGGUCAAAGCACCGGCAUGAUCGCGACAGUCUGCGGUCAACUUCCAACUCGCUGCCGGGCUCAAGGGCCUCGUCACGGCCCGGAUCACGCAUGGCGUCCCGGACAAACAGCCAGGAGUCCAUAAUUGAUCUUUUCGAUGGCAUGACACUGGCUUAUGGUCGGAAUGGUCAUGAAGGAAAAGGGUUCCAGCUUAUCUCUCCUAAGCCCAGAGACCUCCCUCACCAAAGGUGGACAUGGACCGACAAGUUGCGCAUCAAUAGUGCCAUCUGGAGGGCAUGGCACAUCCAAUUUGUGAAAGGCAAGAAACCGAUUGGAUGUCACUUUGAACCGCGACUUCCUGAAUCCCGACCCACACUGCAGGCGGAUGCAAUUCAGAGUGGCCGGGGGACUACUGGCAGCAUUCAGUACAACCAAUCACAGGUCGGCUCUGUCGUCAGGGACUAUAGACGAUGGCGUCUCUACCACAUGGACACCGGCAAGCCUGGGACGACCUCCUCCUCUCAAGGGGAGCCUGCAGAGAACCCAGAAGACAAGGCCUUCAAUUUGGACUCACGCCACCCACCCCUGUCCCCGAUGGCAGCCCGCACACUCCUUAACGAUGACCUGUCCAAGGACUUCUACGAUACGCUGUUCAUCAGCAAGAAGAAGUACUUCUCAGUUCCCCAUCCCAAGAAAAUUGCCCGCCAUGUCUACAAUGCCGAUAUCUUGCAGCCAGGGCUGAUGCAGCUGGAACCAGACUUUGAUGAUGAUUUCAUGGAUACAUUGGACUCCCUACAAGAUACGUUUUGCAAGACCCCUACCAAGGUAGAUCUGCGUAGUCUGAUUGAGUUCAAUGAUGGUCUGCUCUGUACGGAUAGCAUGAGCGCCUUCGCUGACUCAUUCUUCGGCCCGCUCACGACCGUGAGUGAGGAGACUAGCGAUGCACAGCAGGAUCCCAUCCCGGUAUCAGCCAGCAUGGCCCCCUACCCCGUGGCAAUCACGCCCAAUCCAGCCAACGUGGCCCGCAAUCUUACCUUCCCAUCCUUCUCGGUCGCUCCAUCGGCAAGUACUCCAGGGACGUCCUCCUGUCAGUUCUGGGGCCAGCCCGGCUACCAAGUCACUGCUGGUAAGCAGUCGCAGGCCGGUGGUGCUUUCCCCAAGCAAGCCACAGGCGCUGGUGCUUCUCCAGUGUCAGUGGUCUACACGUCUGGGGCAGUCUUUGACCAGAUGCCGCCCAUCUUGGAAGUAUCGGGUGCUGGUGCUGGAGGUAUGACGAUGAUGGUGGAUUCGACCCCUUACCCUAAGCCACAGAUUAGCUGUAUUUCGUCUACCCAUUCACAGGUGUAUUCCACAGCAAUUGCCAAGCAGGAGCCAUACAGUCCACCAAUGGCUACCAGUCCUCAGACCAUGAACACUGGAGUGGACAUCAACGAUGCUCUUGAUAUAAUAGCUGCUCAGUUACAACAGCAGCAGCAGCAGCAGCAGCAGCAGCAACAACAACAACAGCAACAACAGCAACAACAACAAUAUAAACAGUUGCAGCAGCAAGCCCAGAAUGCUUCUGUUGUCGGCAUGAGCCACACCAGUUGGUCUGGCAGUAGUCAGAAAGGACAGCUACAGCCCACCUCGCAGACUUACACCAUGCCAAUGGAAUCCACUAACUGGCCCAACUCCAACCUGCCUCAGGCCCUACCUUCCUCAGGCGUGAACUGGUCCUUAGCUGGGGGUACGCCAGAUGUUUCCAUCACUAUGGGUGGAUUCCCACAAGGCAUCAUGUCUCAAGGAGGCCUGUCAAGCUCCAAUAUGGCAUUUAUCCAGAAUGCAGGCGGCCUGCCCCAUGUGAUGAUUGCUGAUACCAUGGCACCAAUGGACCAAAACAUAAUCCUUGGUGCAGCGUAUUCCCAACAAAAUAACACAGCACAAUCAAGCACACACAGCACACCGGGCCACGGAACACCAGGUCACACAACACCAGGUCACAGAACACCGGGCCAUGUAACUCCAGGCCACAGAACACCAGGGCAUGUUACACCAGGUCACAAGACACCGGGACAUGUGACUCCGGGUCAUGUGACACCUGGCCACAUGACUCCAGGCCAUGUGACUCCAGGCCAUGUGACACCAGGCUAUGUAACCCCAGGUCAUGUGACCCCAGGUCAUGUGACCCCAGGCCAUGUGACCCCAGGUCAUGUGACCCCAGGUUAUGUAACCCCGGGACCACUGACACCACAGAUGGAUGAAAGCAUGGAGUUUGAAGAGUUUCCAUUUCCAUCCACGCCCAAGUCCGGCAGUAGCACAUCGUCAUAUAAGACAAAAAGAGAGCGCCCUCGCAGUCGGAAGAAUUCCCAUGACCGCAGUCCACGCGUCAGCCAGGUCGGGUUCACCGACUCGGCCUCCUAUGCCAGUUAUAUGGGAAAGUCUGAGGCCAAAGAUCUUGGCAUGCCUAGCCCAUCAGAGAUGUCUGUAACCCCCUUCCUCCCGUCAUCCGGCCAUCCGUCCAACGUGUCUAGUGCGGCAUCCUCCCCUGGCAGCGUAACAGAAGGCACAGAAUUUGAGUUCCCCACACCUCAAGCUAAACGGAGAAAGACACCAGACAGCAAUGGAGAAAAGGAAAGUCGCCGGAGGUACAAGCACCUACAAUCUGAGCACAAGCGUCGCUUCAACAUCCAGUCAGGAUUGGAUGAGAUCCAGAGGGUGGUGCCCGGCCUGCGGAAUACCAGCGACUCCAACAAAAGCAGUACGGCCACCAUGCUGCAGAAAGCCCAUGAGCAUAUAGUGCUUUUGAAGGCAGAAUUGAAAGACAUGAGGAACGAUGCUGAGAAACUCCGUGAGGAAGUACAGGCGCUCAACACCGAAAUAGACUCAUGUCAAGAUGAGUUACCAGAUAGCGGGGCACCAGUCACUGCCCAGAGCGACCGGCAGCUGCACCAGAUGAUGGACACCUACACCCACCAGAAAAUGAGGGAAAACUGGACAUUCUGGAUCUUCAGCCUGAUAGUCCGCCCAUUGUUUGAGACAUACCUGUCAGCUGUUAGCUCUUCCCACAUCAGCGACUUUGACCAGACCGUCCAGGACUGGACUGAAGAACACUGCAGAUUGAAACCCCUUAGGAAAUUGGUGACAGCAGCAUUAACCAAAGUUAGCCGAGAAACAUCUAUCCUGAUGGAUCCUGCUUCCCUCCCAACUCAGAUCAAAGAAAUCAUCUCGAAAGACAACGACCGGGGCCCACACGGCAAGACAUAACAACAAGCCCCUGCACAGAGUAUUUUCUCAACUUCUAAUUUAUUUUUUACACAUUUCUUGCUUCCCUUUUUAAGAAAAUGAAAUAAAAUUAGCAUUAAAGCCUGAAUUAGAACCACUAUUGUAUUAUAUGCCACCGAGCCAUGAAGUAAAGCAUGCACCACAGAAGUAGAAGAAGCCGGGGAGGUCUUUUGCUCGUAGCUGCCGCCAAGUGAAGGUCAUUGGUUGAAAAUAAUAGAUCCAAUUGGUGCUCACUAUUUAUUCGUUACUUGGUUGUUUGUAUCAUCGGUAAUGAGCCUCUGUACUGAUGACGUCACACUUUGUUUGCAUGUGCACUUUCCUGUGGAGCCAGUGGGGUCCACGGUCCACUGAGCACCAUAGGAAAGCACAUGCGUAAACAAAGUAUUACGUCAUCAGUACAGAGGCUUAUUGCAUUCUAGAACUUCUGGGGUCAAAUUUGAAAUACAAAAGUCAAUAUGACUUGUUCAUGAAUGAUCUUGCAAUCGAUUUAUUUUCAAAGAUAGAAACAUUUAUUGGAAAUGAUAGUAUACAUUUAUUUGUGCCAUGUGGAUUAAUCAAUUUUUUAAAAAUACGAUUUGUAUUUGAAUCGCAUGAUAUGCUGCAUUAUUUAUAUGUGUUGGCGAGAAGGUGAGGUGGACAUUGUUAAACUGGUUAGGUAAAUUACUGCUGCAUUGUGGAAAUUUGAUCCCAAGAUUAUAAAUAUUGGUAAUCGCCUCAGCUGCUGAGGUCAGGAAAGUUUUCCUUUAGAAAGUAACAUUUUUAUGUAGCUAGAAUUAAGAAGUGGCAACAAUGGGCAGGUGGCCACAAUGGGCAGGUGGCCACAAUGGGCAGGCGGCUACAGUGACAAGUGGCCACAAAGUACAGGUGGCCACAAAGUACAGGUGGCCACAAAGUACAGGUGGCUACAAUGGACAGGUUGCCACUAUGGACAAGUGGCCACACUGGUAAAUCUGUUUGUGUAAUAUGAGCAAGUUAAUUUGCAUUGCUGUAUAUCAUCAACUUAUGCAGAUUAUUUGGUGUUGGGCCUAUCCAAGCCACAGUGCUUUGCCCAAUAGUACCAACAUGGCUGUAUCUGUGAGAAAAGGAUAGAUUACAAAUGAUUUUUGUUUCAGUAACAUAUGUGCAAACACCACUGUUAACAAGAUAAAGAACACUGCCACCUACAUGUAUGAGUUUAGGUACUCGUUCAAACAUAUCACCUGAAUCAAGCAUGGGCGUAAAUCGCACAGGGGAUGGGCAGGAUAUCUUUCUGCCCCCCCCCCCACACUUUUUUUUUACCGGGGGUGGGGUUGGGGUUGGAAAUUGGAUUCUCCAUGCGGAUUUUGAAACUUUCAACUGUCCAAAUUUAUGAAAUAGUUCAAAAACGGAGAAGAAACAGUUCAAAAGCUUUGAAUAUAUCAUUUCCAUGUAAGGUUAAGGGACGCAAGUUUGCAUUACAUGUCCUUUUUUUCAUGAACAGUGCCCCAGAGUGUCACAUUGUUAUCCCCUAUCUCUCUCCCCCCCCCUUCCUUCCCCCGCCGGGCAGUUUUAGGAUUUUGCGGUAUGGUCAUCCCUUGUCCCCCCACUCCCUGACACAGAUUCAUGCCACUGGAUUCAAAGGAAAAAUACCAUCAUUGAUAAUAGAAAUAUUUACAUUUUGAAGAGAAAAAUAUUUUCCAUUUUUACCUCUCAUAUAGUAGCAAAGUAGCCUGUAUCAGGCAUUUACUACACAUACCAUUUCUUUCAAUGUUCUGGGAACCAUUUCCAGAUCAGUAACUUCCAUAUGCAAGUGUUUGACUGUAACUAUUCUCUUUAAUACAAAUUAGUGCCGUGUGCUGUAUGUACAGUGUUUUUACUCAUGUAAACAAUUGUUCCCUCUCAUUGUACAUUAACAUCCAAGCACAAUUAGAAGAAAAAUCAUGCGAUUAAAGACUAUGGAAAACAUGGCACCAGGUUUAAGAUUCAUUUGCACACCUUGUAACGAUCCUAUCAAAUUCCAUAGAAAUAGUACAAAAUAAAUUUGAAUUUGAAAAACUGGAACAAAAUUGAAAUGACUUGUAGAGGUUUAAUUUUAAUUUGUUUUUCUUUUACUUUUGGUUGGAGUUGUGUGCAUGCUCAUGGUCUUAAGCGGAAGUUUUAGAAAUAAAGAAGGCGCUGUAUUUUGGUUUUUAAGUUACACUGUUCCAUUAAUGUCUUAGAAAUGUGGCAUAAUUAUUGUGUGCUAUGUAUAUGUCUAUAUUUAUGAAUUUUACAUGAAAUAUUUGGUGCAUGUGUGUUUGUGAGAUGAAAGUAUGGAUGUGCUAUCUUUGGAUGCUAUGUGUACAUUUGAUAGUGCUGAUGAUUAGUAGGGUGUAAUUUAUUGUUUGAAUAAAGAUGUGUUUUUAGAGUCACCCAAAACAAA
rnacentral:misc_RNA from 1 species